AGAAAAAGCAGGAGGAGCGAGAGAAAGGGUGGCGCAACAUCAAGUUCCAGGCAGAUAUUUUCCUCUGCGACCGCCUGUGUGUUUAUUUGUGGUUGUGCUUCUUAUUCUUCUCUCUAUCGUUCUGUAUCUCAGUGU
ensembl:ncRNA Y34B4A.17 ncRNA